GGGGCCAAUUUUUUUUGUUUUGUUUUAUUUUGGCUAUUUAUAUGGGUAUCUAUACGGCGCCGUUUUGGGCUUAAGUGAUGAUAGCCAAAACAACGUCGUUUCGAAUAAGACCCGAAAACCCGACCCGUCUACUACAGGAUCUGCGUGUUUUCGCGGUGAUUGGGUUAUUAGCGCGCGGGGUCCCUCCCCUUUUGCGCUGAUAUGCAAUCGGCUCCUUUUGUUUCUUUCAUUUUCGCCCGUUGAAUU
rnacentral:lncRNA from 1 species